AGAUUGAACGCUGGCGGCAGGCUUAACACAUGCAAGUCGAGCGGGGAAAUGUAGCUUGCUACAUUACCUAGCGGCGGACGGGUGAGUAAUGCUUAGGAAUCUGCCUAUUAGUGGGGGACAACAUUUCGAAAGGAAUGCUAAUACCGCAUACGCCCUACGGGGGAAAGCAGGGGAUCUUCGGACCUUGCGCUAAUAGAUGAGCCUAAGUCGGAUUAGCUAGUUGGUGGGGUAAAGCCUACCAAGGCGACGAUCUGUAGCGGGUCUGAGAGGAUGAUCCGCACACUGGGACUGAGACACGGCCCAGACUCCUACGGGAGGCAGCAGUGGGGAAUAUUGGACAAUGGGCGCAAGCCUGAUCCAGCCAUGCCGCGUGAGUGAAGAAGGCCUUCGGUUGUAAAGCUCUUUGUCCGGAAAGAAAGCUUCGGUCAAUACCCCGGAGUCCUGACGUACGGAAGAAUAAGCACCGGACUAACUUCGUGCCAGCAGCCGCGUAA
rnacentral:rRNA from 1 species